GACGAACGCUGGCGGCGUGCUUAAUACAUGCAAGUCAACUUGACUUUAGAUAGCAAUAUCGAAAAGUAGGGUGGCGCACGGGUGCGUAACGCGUAGGUAAUCUGCCCUGAGGUCUGACAUAACCCGUCGAAAGGCGGGCUAACAUCAGAUGAUAUAUAAUCACGACAUCGUGGAAAUAUCAAAUCUUCGGAGCCUUGGGAUGAGCCUGCGUCUGAUUAGGUAGUUGGCGGAGUAAUAGCCCACCAAGCCUACGAUCAGUAGCUGGUCUGAGAGGAUGAUCAGCCACACUGGGACUGAGACACGGUCCAGACUCCUACGGGAGGCAGCAGUAAGGAAUAUUGCUCAAUGGGGGAAACCCUGAAGCAGCAACGCCGCGUGAAGGAUGAAUACUUUGUAUGUAAACUUCUGUAAGAUGGGAAAAAUAUUCUACCUCGGAGAAUUGAUUGUACCAUCAGAGUAAGCCCCGG
rnacentral:rRNA from 1 species